rnacentral:rRNA from 1 species
UGAGGAAUAUUGGACAAUGGGUGAGAGCCUGAUCCAGCCAUCCCGCGUGAAGGACGACGGCCCUAUGGGUUGUAAACUUCUUUUGUACAGGGAUAAACCUACUCUCGUGAGAGUAGCUGACGGUACUGUACGAAUAAGCACCGGCUAACGCCGUGCCAGCAGCCGCGGUAAUACGGAGGGUGCAAGCGUUAUCCGGAUUUAUUGGGUUUAAAGGGUCCGUAGGCGGAUCUUCAAGUCAGUGGUGAAAUCUCAUAGCUUAACUACGAAACUGCCAUUGAUACUGCAGGUCUUGAGUAAGGUAGAAGUAGCUGGAAUAAGUAGUGUAGCGGUGAAAUGCAUAGAUAUUACGUAGAACACCAAUUGCGAAGGCAGGUUACUAUGUCUUAACUGACGCUGAUGGACGAAAGCGUGGGGAGCGAACA